CGCGCCUGAGGCCGCGGGGCUGCUCGCCGUUGCCCGCAAACCGGCGGGUCGGGGGCGGCUCUGUUCCGUGGGGGAUUGGGCUGUUUGUCCUUUGCGAGAGCGCAGCGGGAGGGAAGCGACCCGCAAACCGGAGGGGACGGUCCUGGUGGAGAGGUAACGCAGGCAGAGCAGCAAGAGAGACUGCCAUUUUGACUCAUAAGACCUGAGGUCAUCCUGGACCCUCCCACUCCAUAAGCCCUGAGAAGCUCCAGGAACCUGUGGCAGCAAUGGAAGACUGAGGACCAGCAGAGCCUAUAGACCACCUGCUGGAAAUCAGGGGCCAUCCAUGGUGUGAUCUGCCUAAAAUCUAAUAUGACAGCUGGGCACCCAAAAGAGCCCACUUCUCUUACCAGACCUGGAUGGACAAAGUAGAAGGCAAGUUUGAGGGAUAAGUAUUGCAUUUUUUUGUAUUGAAUAAACUGUAGGUUAGCAGUGGCUUUUACAGAAUAAGUAGGAUCUAAAUGACUUAAUGCCUGUGCAAUCUGUGUCUGUUCUCUUGUCCUCUUUUUAGUCUACUCUGCUCCUUAAUCUCUUUUUAUAUAAUCUCUAUUUUAUUAUAAGUUAUAUUGUGUGUAUUCAGCAACUAGGUUUACUUGCUAAUCACCAGAAAUUCAACCAGCACUGGUGGCUGCAGAGAUACCAGACCCCCUGCAGGGAGAGAAACAGGAGACUGUUACUCUGAAGGAUUAGGGUACCUAAGAUCUUAAAGCAAGUUGGUGACAGAGCUAGAAAUAAUCCCUGAAGGCAAAAGCUAUUUGUAACAUAUUUUCUGCAAAUAUUGCAUUAUUUGGAGGGUUUCCAGUUGACUAUUGCAAAAUUAAAAUAAAAUAAAAUAAAAUAAAAUAAAAUUUCUGCAUUACUGAA